rnacentral:rRNA from 1 species
AUUGAACGCUGGCGGCAGGCCUAACACAUGCAAGUCGAGCGGAUGAAGGGAGCUUGCUCCUGGAUUCAGCGGCGGACGGGUGAGUAAUGCCUAGGAAUCUGCCUGGUAGUGGGGGAUAACGUCCGGAAACGGGCGCUAAUACCGCAUACGUCCUGAGGGAGAAAGUGGGGGAUCUUCGGACCUCACGCUAUCAGAUGAGCCUAGGUCGGAUUAGCUAGUUGGUGGGGUAACGGCCUACCAAGGCGACGAUCCGUAACUGGUCUGAGAGGAUGAUCAGUCACACUGGAACUGAGACACGGUCCAGACUCCUACGGGAGGCAGCAGUGGGGAAUAUUGGACAAUGGGCGAAAGCCUGAUCCAGCCAUACCGCGUGUGUGAAGAAGGUCUUCGGAUUGUAAAGCACUUUAAGUUGGGAGGAAGGGCAGUAAGUUAAUACCUUGCUGUUUUGACGUUACCAACAGAAUAAGCACCGGCUAACUUCGUG